rnacentral:rRNA from 1 species
CCUGGCUUAGGAUGAACGCUAGCGGCAGGCCUAACACAUGCAAGUCGAGGGGCAGCACAAGGAGCAAUCUGAGGUGGCGACCGGCGCACGGGUGAGUAACACGUAUGCAACCUGCCUGUAAGCGGGGAAUAACCCGUUGAAAGACGGACUAAUACCGCAUAAUACUAAAUUACUGCAUGGUAAUUUAUUUAAACAUUUAUGGCUUACAGAUGGGCAUGCGCAUGAUUAGCUAGUUGGAGAGGUAACGGCUCCCCAAGGCAACGAUCAUUAGGGGUUCUGAGAGGAAGGUCCCCCACACUGGUACUGAGACACGGACCAGACUCCUACGGGAGGCAGCAGUGAGGAAUAUUGGUCAAUGGACGAGAGUCUGAACCAGCCAAGUCGCGUGCAGGAAGAAUGUUCCCUAUGGAUUGUAAACUGCUUUUGCAGGGGAAUAAAGUGCAUCACGUGUGAUGUUUUGUAUGUACUCUGCGAAUAAGGAUCGGCUAACUCCGUGCCAGCCGCGGC